GACGGGGCCGCACAAGCGGAGGAGCAUGUGGUUAAUUCGAUGAUACGCGAGGAACCUUACCUGGGCUCGAACGUAAGAUGACUGUAGGUGAAAGCUUACAUCUCUUCGGAGCAUUUUACGAGGUGCUGCAUGGUUGUCGUCAGCUCGUGCCGUGAGGUGUCGGGUUAAGUCCCAUAACGAGCGCAACCCCUACCUUUAGUUGCCAUCAGGUAAUGCUGGGGACUCUAAAGGAACUGCCUACGCAAGUAGUGAGGAAGGCGGGGAUGACGUCAAAUCAGCACGGCCCUUACGUCCAGGGCUACACACGUGCUACAAUGGCCGAUACAGAGGGCAGCUACCUGGUGACAGGAUGCAAAUCUCCAAAGUCGGUCUCAGUUCGGAUCGGAGUCUGCAACCCGACUCCGUGAAGUUGGAUUCGCUAGUAAUCGCGCAUCAGCCAUGGCGCGGUGAAUACGUUCCCGGGCCUU
rnacentral:rRNA from 1 species